UACUGUACUAAUAUGUGUAGGUUCUUGUAAUUUGAGUGAGAUUGUCAUGGCGCAAAAGCAGAUAUGGUUUGGUAUUCCCUUGUUCCCUGUAUUGGUUAUGUUCUUUAUUUCUUGUCUAGCAGAAACUAAUCGAGCUCCGUUUGAUCUCCCAGAAGCGGAAGCUGAAUUAGUUGCAGGCUAUAAUGUAGAAUAUUCGCGGGAUGCGAUCCUUAAUAGUCCACUGUUGGCGGAAGCCAAUGUCCCGGGGUCCCGGGGACUCAUUCUGACUGAAACAAGGGGUGGGUCUUUACCAAUUUUGAAAAUAUUCGAUUUUAGGGAAGCCAAAAAACGUGAGCGCCUAGCACGAGCCUUAUUGAAUAUUGAAAAGGCCCCUUACUAUAGAUAAAGCCCCUGCAAUCAAACUCAAGGAAAGCCUUUUGACAACCUUACUAAUAGAAAGGGGAAAAAUGCGCUCAAACAACCUAUCUUACUAAUAAUAGGGUCGUUGUAAAGCUACAGCUCGAAAGCCGGCCUUACCUUCUAUUCUAUUAGUAAAGGGCUUUUCUUGCUUGUUUAGUAAAGUCACGCUUUUCAUUUUGAUAGGAGUAGGUGCUUUCUGGGGCAGGGCACUCUUCAUUCUUCAUUCGAAACUAAUGAAUGUCCGGUCGGGGGUUUCUGCCUUGUUAUCAAAAAGGGAGUUGGGUAAAGCAAACUCCCUCCUUGGACGAGCACGAGGCUUAGUCAAGUAGAACCGGGUUGCGUUGCUUGAUGCUCCGAUCGAAAACAAAUCAGUGGGGCCAUGCCGGUACGACUGAAUAUGCGUUAGAAAGGUCAAUCCCUCCCCUACGACACCAAAAAAAACCGGGCCGAACUUCUACCCGCCCGCUUCCAUAGAACAAUAUCGUGGCAACGUAGACCUAAGUGGUAUCAUAUCAUAUUGGAUCCUUGGGAACCAUCACAAGUACGGCCGGCCUAUAUUUGAACGAAAAUGCCGUGUCGUCCAGCGGAGCCUAGAAGAAGGUGACUCGCGCAGACAGCUGACUCCUUUUCAAUAGAAAGGAAUAGCCAAACCAACCCAGCUGUCUGGUCAAUCUCAGAGAUCUUAUCGGCCGGCAAACUGGAG
rnacentral:misc_RNA from 1 species